rnacentral:rRNA from 1 species
GGAAUCUUGCACAAUGGAGGAAACUCUGAUGCAGCGAUGCCGCGUGAGUGAAGAAGGCCUUUGGGUUGUAAAGCUCUUUUGUAGGGGAAGAUAAUGACUGUACCCUAAGAAUAAGGUCCGGCUAACUUCGUGCCAGCAGCCGCGGUAAUACGAAGGGACCUAGCGUAGUUCGGAAUUACUGGGCGUAAAGCGCGCGUAGGCCGUUGAGUUAGUUAAUUGUGAAAUCCCAAAGCUUAACUUUGGAACUGCAAUUAAAACUGCUCGACUAGAGUUUGAUAGAGGUAAGCGGAAUACAUAGUGUAGAGGUGAAAUUCGUAGAUAUUAUGUAGAACACCAGUUGCGAAGGCGGCUUUCUGGAUCAACACUGACGCUGAGGCGCGAAAGUAUGGGUAGCAAAGAGGAUUAGAUACCCUCGUAGUCCAUACCAUAAACGAUGAUUGCUAGAUGUUGGAAAUUUAUUUUCAGUAUCGCAGCUAACGCAUUAAGCAAUCCGCCUGGGGAGUACGACCGCAAGGUUAAAACUCAAAUGAAUUGACGG